AGACAGGGUAAAAAGAACGAAUUACGAAAGGAAAUCGACGCCGCUGGGUUACGUUUUAAUAGCGUUUCUAUCCAUAAAAAUAUUUCCGGAAACGUAUGGGUAAUGAAAAUAAAGACAGAACAAUUACUUAUUGAGUCAUUCAGCAAAUGCAUUGUUUUUUGUAAAUAACAGUAAAGCAGAGGAAUACCAGAAAUUAAAUUUUGAAUUAGCCAGAAUGGCCGAUAUUAGAAGACUUCAAGAAAUUUAAGAAUUAGUCAUCAAUAAUAUGGUUACAAGAUGAAUUUUUAAGUCUGCAAAAAGAAAUGAAAUUGACACUAGAAGAAAACAAGGCAAUUAAUAAUAAAAGUGUAGAAGCCAUCGAAAAAGCUAACAAAAUGGUUCAAAAGCAGCAGAAAGAAAUUGAAGAAUUAAAAAUGAAAGUAAGUGAUGAAUCAA
rnacentral:misc_RNA from 1 species